GACUGCCCUGCCCAUUUUCCAGUUAGAGAAACAUUUUUGAGUUGAAGCAUGAUCUGAUUGUAGCAUAUUCUGUAACCUUUAGCUAUUCAAAAAUAGACUUUGCUUACAUUAGUAACUUUCAUCAUAUUUGCAUUUAUUUCCAAAAGGUUUAACUUUCCUAGAUUUAGGCUGAAUAGGUUUGAUGGUAACAAAAUGAAUAUUGCCCAGUCAUACUUGAAUGCCAACAUCAGAGGAGGCAGAGCUGCCACACUUGCAACUGAUGGAUGGACCUGAGCCCUAGGACCAUGCCUCAGGACUACCUGGCAUGAUGACUCCUUGCUGUCCCCAGUCCACCUCGCCGUGCUCCUGCUCCAGUUUCAAAUGUUCUGCCUGCGGCUAUGGAAUCCUGACCUGUUCACUGGACGUGCUACCUGUCCCAGAUCUAUUAUUUGACCAUGCUGGUCAUUUAUGAACAUUUGAACAUCUUGGCUAUGUUCUGUUAUAAUCUCCACCCGGCACAGCCAGAAGAGGACUGGCCACCCCUCAUAGCCUGGUUCCUCUCUAGGUUUCUUCCUAGGUUUUGGCCUUUCUAGGGAGUUUUUCCUAGCCAAUGUGCUUCAACACCUGCAUUGCUUGCUGUUUGGGGUUUUGGGCUGGGUUUCUGUACAGCACUUUGAGAUAUCAGCUGAUGUACGAAAGGCUAUAUAAAUACAUUUGAUUUGAUUCAGCAUUUAAAAAAUCCAGCAGCGUUGCAGUUCUUGACACACCCAAACCGGUGCACCUGGCACCUACCACCAUACCCCACACCUAAAUCUUUUGUCUUACCCAUUCACCCUCAGUGCAACACAUACACAAUCCACAUCUCAAGGCUUAAAAAUACUUAUUUAACCCAUCUCCUCCUCUUCAUCAAUAAGGGAUCAUAGCUUUCACCUGGAUUCAUCUGGUCAGUUUAUGUCAUGGAAAGAGCAGGUGUGUCUAAUGUUUUGUGCACUCAGUGCAUAUAUUUGUUUAAUUUUGGCAACACCACUGCAGUUGACCUAGACUUUGAAUACCACUGGUCUAGUACAAUGCUGCUUCCCAAUACAUCAUAUAAACCAGCUUAUCUUUCACAAUAGUCCAGUCCAUAAGAUCACUACUCUCCAGCAAACAGCAACCACCCAGACAGAGGGAGAUAAGAUUCUAUUAUUUCAGGUACGAUGUCACAGGCAAUUUUCUCUGGUUGCCACUGCUGGCCUGAGGCAAUAAUAAAAUAUGUGGAUAAACUAGGCCCAAGACCCAGCAGGGUCACGGAAGAAGGACAGCAAGGGCUUUCAAGGCUCCAGUCACAGCCGUUUUGGGAUUCAGCCUGGAAGGCAACUGAUAAGUCUGGUCGAAUCAAGAGGACCUCAUCAAUGCAUUUGUUUGCUCCUUGAAGUACAGGCACCAGCAGGCAGUGACAUCCAUCAACCAAGUCCUUAUUUCUAUUGACUUGGCGCCCUCUUGUGUUGAUGUGUGUAUCGGCAAGAGCAAGAGAGGCUCCAUAACAUCUUGUGCCUUGCUGAGCGACUCAUGUACAGUGGAUAUUACUUUAUUCCAUCAAUUAAGUGUCUACAAACAAUUUCCCCAAAUGUGUGCUUGGCAGGGAAUAAUGACACCUCUUAGUCACUGACAGCUCCACCCAGACAGCCUGUUGGUCUGGUGAGUAAUCCAUCAGGGUUGGUAGACAAGAGCACACGGGUGUGUUCACUAAGGUGAAACAUUUACAAUAAUGCAGAUAAAAAUUUAACCAAACAGAAAUUCCAG
ensembl:lncRNA